AGAGUCAUAGUUCAGUGGCAGAGCAUACACUUUGCAUGCAGAGAGUCACGGGUUCAAUUCCCUGUGUCUCCA